rnacentral:rRNA from 1 species
AUUGAACGCUGGCGGCAUGCCUUACACAUGCAAGUCGAACGGCAGCACGGGAGCUUGCUCCUGGUGGCGAGUGGCGAACGGGUGAGUAAUGCAUCGGAACGUGCCCUGAAGUGGGGGAUAACGUAGCGAAAGUUACGCUAAUACCGCAUAUUCUGUGAGCAGGAAAGCAGGGGAUCGCAAGACCUUGCGCUCUGGGAGCGGCCGAUGUCGGAUUAGCUAGUUGGUGGGGUAAAGGCCUACCAAGGCGACGAUCCGUAGCGGGUCUGAGAGGAUGAUCCGCCACACUGGGACUGAGACACGGCCCAGACUCCUACGGGAGGCAGCAGUGGGGAAUUUUGGACAAUGGGCGGAAGCCUGAUCCAGCCAUGCCGCGUGAGUGAAGAAGGCCUCGG